GGCCCAAGUUUCUUACUGUCAGAGAAAGACGUUACAAAGAAAGCAAGGAGGGAAGGUGCGAAUGAACCUUUUAGGAAAUGGCUGAUUCCAGGGCUGGGGAAGGGAAAAUGCAAGAUAAGCCUGAAUCAUCUUAUAAUGCCAGAGAGUAAGGAAGUAGGUACUCAAGAAAA